rnacentral:rRNA from 1 species
UGGGGAAUUUUGGACAAUGGGCGAAAGCCUGAUCCAGCAAUGCCGCGUGUGUGAAGAAGGCCUUCGGGUUGUAAAGCACUUUUGUCCGGAAAGAAAUCCUUGGCUCUAAUACAGUCGGGGGAUGACGGUACCGGAAGAAUAAGCACCGGCUAACUACGUGCCAGCAGCCGCGGUAAUACGUAGGGUGCAAGCGUUAAUCGGAAUUACCGGGCGUAAAGCGUGCGCAGGCGGUUUGCUAAGACCGAUGUGAAAUCCCCGGGCUCAACCUGGGAACUGCAUUGGUGACUGGCAGGCUAGAGUAUGGCAGAGGGGGGUAGAAUUCCACGUGUAGCAGUGAAAUGCGUAGAGAUGUGGAGGAAUACCGAUGGCGAAGGCAGCCCCCUGGGCCAAUACUGACGCUCAUGCACGAAAGCGUGGGGAGCAAACAGGAUUAGAUACCCUGGUAGUCCACGCCCUAAACGAUGUCAACUAGUUGUUAGGGAUUCAUUUCCUUAGUAACGUAGCUAACGCGUGAAGUUGACCGCCUGGGGAGUACGGUCGCAAGAUUAAAACUCAAAUGAAUUGACGGGGUCAUAGCUGUUUCCU